AAGAGAAAGAGAAAGAGAAAGAGAAAGAAGAGAGUGAUUUUUUCUUGUCUCCUUCUUUUUGUGCUUCUGUUCUGACUGCCUCUUUCUUUCUUCUCUCUCCUCCAAAAUAAAAAGAGAGAAGAAAAAAAGGGAGGAAAAGACACUCUCAAAAAACUUUUGGGGUUUUUGGCUGAAUUGUUAAAAGAGAUCCAAUUUUUUGUUCAAGAAGAAGAGAGAGAAGAGA
rnacentral:ribozyme from 13 species